rnacentral:misc_RNA from 1 species
GAUUUGAUGUUCGUUGAAUAGGUAGUAGUAGUUUCGGCUUGACAAAUUUACGGGAAAUUAUGGAACUAACCACAAAUAGGGAUUAGUAUGGUUUUAUGGAGAUAAUAUGUUGAUGAGGUUUUUUGGCUUGGUAAAAAUAUGGUUUCCAUUAUAGUAGACGAUACGCGAAAGCGAAAAGAACAAAGAUAGGUUCAGUGAUUUUGAGUAAAGCAACAUUAAGGAACUUCUUGUUGCUGAUUGUUGGAAAUGUUUUGCAACAUACAGUAACAGAAGGUGAGAAGAGGCGGCGAAAGACUGUUGCUUCAAUGGGAACUAGAAUAGGAAGAAUACUGUAUUGCCAUUACUUCGUAUUAUGGUCGAAUUUGAACACGUGAAUUAUUUAAACUUUUAAUGUGAAACUGAAUUACAGAAUGUUUUACAAAAGAUCCUACUGCCAAUACGACCGAAAUCUCAGACCACCCUAUCGCAAA